GAAUAUUGGACAAUGGUGGCAACACUGAUCCAGCCAUGCCGCGUGCAGGAUGAAGGCCCUCUGGGUCGUAAACUGCUUUUAUACGGGAAAAAACCCUCCGAUGCGUCGGGGGUUGAUGGCACCGUAAGAAUAAGGGUCGGCUAACUUCGUGCCAUCAGCCGCGGUAAUACGAAGGACCCGAGCGUUAUCCGGAUUUAUUGGGUUUAAAGGGUGCGUAGGCGGAUUGGCAAGUCAGUGGUGAAAUCCUGCAGCUUAACUGUAGAACUUUCAUUGAAACUGCCUGUCUUGAGUACAUUUGAAGCGUGCGGAAUGUGUCAUGUAGCGGUGAAGUGCUUAGAUAUGACACAGAACACCGAUUGCGAAGGCAGCUCGCUAAACUGUCACUGACGCUGAGGCACGAAAGCGUGGGGAUCAAACAGG
rnacentral:rRNA from 1 species